rnacentral:rRNA from 1 species
UGCAAGUCGAACGCUGGAGAUCUAGCUUGCUAGAUCGAAGGAGUGGCGAACGGGUGAGUAAUACAUAAGCAACCUACCCACGAAGACUGGGAUAAUCUCUGGAAACGGGGACUAAUACCGGAUAGGUAAUCGGAAGGCAUCUUCUGGUUAUUAAAGGUUAAAAACACUGGUGGAUGGGCUUAUGGCGCAUUAGUUAGUUGGUGAGGUAACGGCCCACCAAGACGAUGAUGCGUAGCCGGCCUGAGAGGGUGAACGGCCACAUUGGGACUGAGACACGGCCCAGACUCCUACGGGAGGCAGCAGUAGGGAAUUUUCGGCAAUGGGGGAAACCCUGACCGAGCAACGCCGCGUGAGUGAUGACGGCCUUCGGGUUGUAAAGCUCUGUUGUAAGGGAAGAACGGUAGAUAGAGAAUAUCUAAAUGACGGUACCUUACCAGAAAGCCACGGCUAACUACGUGCCAGCAGCCGCGGUAAUACGUAGGUGGCGAGCGUUAUCCGGAAUUAUUGGGCGUAAAGGGUGCGUAGGCGGCCUGUUAAGUAAGUGGUUAAAUUGUUGGGCUCAACCCAAUCCAGCCACUUAAACUGGCAGGCUAGAGUAUUGGAGAGGCAAGUGGAAUUCCAUGUGUAGCGGUAAAAUGCGUAGAUAUAUGGAGGAACACCAGUGGCGAAGGCGGCUUGCUAGCCAAAGACUGACGCUCAUGCACGAAAGCGUGGGGAGCAAAUAGGAUUAGAUACCCUAGUAGUCCACGCCGU